rnacentral:rRNA from 1 species
UGGGGAAUAUUGCACAAUGGGCGCAAGCCUGAUGCAGCAACGCCGCGUGAGGGACGACGGCCUUCGGGUUGUAAACCUCUUUUAGUAGGGAAGAAGCGAAAGUGACGGUACCUGCAGAAAAAGCACCGGCUAACUACGUGCCAGCAGCCGCGGUAAUACGUAGGGUGCGAGCGUUGUCCGGAAUUAUUGGGCGUAAAGAGCUCGUAGGCGGUCUGUCGCGUCUGCUGUGAAAACCCGAGGCUCAACCUCGGGCCUGCAGUGGGUACGGGCAGACUAGAGUGCGGUAGGGGAGAAUGGAAUUCCUGGUGUAGCGGUGGAAUGCGCAGAUAUCGGGAGGAACACCGAUGGCGAAGGCAGUUCUCUGGGCCGUAACUGACGCUGAGGAGCGAAAGCGUGGGGAGCGAACAGGAUUAGAUACCCUGGUAGUCCACGCCGUAAACGUUGGGUGCUAGAUGUGGGGACCAUUCCACGGUUUCCGUGUCGCAGCUAACGCAUUAAGCGCCCCGCCUGGGGAGUACGGCCGCAAGGCU